rnacentral:rRNA from 1 species
AGAGUUUGAUCCUGGCUCAGGAUGAACGCUAGCUACAGGCUUAACACAUGCAAGUCGAGGGGCAGCAUGGACCCAGCUUUGCUGGGUUUGAUGGCGACCGGCGCACGGGUGAGUAACGCGUAUCCAACCUGCCCUUUACUCCGGGAUAGUCUCCUGAAAGGGAGUUUAAUACCGGAUGUGUUUGUCUUUCCGCAUGGGAGCGACAAAUAAAGAUUGAUUGGUAAAGGAUGGGGAUGCGUCCCAUUAGCUUGUUGGCGGGGUAACGGCCCACCAAGGCGACGAUGGGUAGGGGUUCUGAGAGGAAGGUCCCCCACAUUGGAACUGAGACACGGUCCAAACUCCUACGGGAGGCAGCAGUGAGGAAUAUUGGUCAAUGGGCGGGAGCCUGAACCAGCCAAGUAGCGUGAAGGAUGACGGCCCUACGGGUUGUAAACUUCUUUUAUAAGGGAAUAAAGUUCGCCACGCGUGGUGUUUUGUAUGUACCUUAUGAAUAAGCAUCGGCUAAUUCCGUGCCAGCAGCCGCGGUAAUACGGAAGAUGCGAGCGUUAUCCGGAUUUAUUGGGUUUAAAGGGAGCGUAGGCGGGCUUUUAAGUCAGCGGUCAAAUGCCACGGCUCAACCGUGGCCAGCCGUUGAAACUGCAAGCCUUGAGUCUGCACAGGGCACAUGGAAUUCGUGGUGUAGCGGUGAAAUGCUUAGAUAUCACGAAGAACUCCGAUCGCGAAGGCAUUGUGCCGGGGCAUAACUGACGCUGAGGCUCGAAAGUGCGGGUAUCAAACAGGAUUAGAUACCCUGGUAGUCCGCACGGUAAACGA